rnacentral:lncRNA from 1 species
UGUACUUCCUUCAUUCGAAAUCCGAACUCAAAAGUAGGGGGACCGGUGUUGGGUGUAAAGUGCCCCCUCGGCCGAAGUCUGUAGAGGACUGAUUCUUCGGGGCUCCUCCGGCUCCCGACCUUGUACGUGACGCCUCUCCGAACUCCCUCGGCCGUCCGGACUUCUUCGACAAUGGGCCUCAGUGUUCACCCAUCGGGCCGCCCCAAAGGCCC